GACGUAGGGCGCGAGCGUUGUCCGGAUUUAUUGGGCGUAAAGAGCUCGUAGGCGGCUUGUUGCGUCGACCGUGAAAACCCGGGGCUCAACUUCGGGCUUGCGGUCGAUACGGGCGGGCUAGAGUUCGGUAGGGGAGACUGGAAUUCCUGGUGUAGCGGUGAAAUGCGCAGAUAUCAGGAGGAACACCGGUGGCGAAGGCGGCGAUCUGGGUCGAUACUGACGCUGAGGUGCGAAAGCGUGGGGAGCAAACAGG
rnacentral:rRNA from 1 species